rnacentral:snRNA from 1 species
UGCGCUUCUCGGCCUUUUGGCUAAGAUCAAGUGUAGUAUCUGUUCUUAUCAGUUUANUUAACUUUUUCAUCAUGUGUGUUAUGAGUUGCAUUAUAUGUGUCCUCUCUAAACAAUUUGUUGAAAUCCUCAUGUCCAGUACCUCAGGCUAUGAAUUUGUAAACGAGGUACUUGUGGUUGAGAUCUUGAUUUGAUGAUCAGAU